AAGUCGUAACAAGGUUUCCGUAGGUGAACCUGCGGAAGGAUCAUUAUUGAAUUUUGAAAGGGGUUGUUGCUGGCUUUCUUACGAAGGCAAGUGCACGCCCUGCUCAUCCACUUCACACCUGUGCACUGUUUGUAGGUCGGUUUUGAAUGCAGUCUUCAUUGGCUGUGUUUUGGGCCUUCCUAUGUCUUUUACAAACGCUUCAGUCAAUAGAAUGUAAUCGCGCUUAUAAACGCAACUAUACAACUUUCAGCAACGGAUCUCUUGGCUCUC
rnacentral:misc_RNA from 1 species